GCUCAGGACGAACGCUGGCGGCGUGCCUAAUACAUGCAAGUCGAACGAACUCUGGUAUUGAUUGGUGCUUGCAUCAUGAUUUACAUUUGAGUGAGUGGCGAACUGGUGAGUAACACGUGGGAAACCUGCCCAGAAGCGGGGGAUAACACCUGGAAACAGAUGCUAAUACCGCAUAACAACUUGGACCGCAUGGUCCGAGCUUGAAAGAUGGCUUCGGCUAUCACUUUUGGAUGGUCCCGCGGCGUAUUAGCUAGAUGGUGGGGUAACGGCUCACCAUGGCAAUGAUACGUAGCCGACCUGAGAGGGUAAUCGGCCACAUUGGGACUGAGACACGGCCCAAACUCCUACGGGAGGCAGCAGUAGGGAAUCUUCCACAAUGGACGAAAGUCUGAUGGAGCAACGCCGCGUGAGUGAAGAAGGGUUUCGGCUCGUAAAACUCUGUUGUUAAAGAAGAACAUAUCUGAGAGUAACUGUUCAGGUAUUGACGGUAUUUAACCAGAAAGCCACGGCUAACUACGUGCCAGCAGCCGCGGUAAUACGUAGGUGGCAAGCGUUGUCCGGAUUUAUUGGGCGUAAAGCGAGCGCAGGCGGUUUUUUAAGUCUGAUGUGAAAGCCUUCGGCUCAACCGAAGAAGUGCAUCGGAAACUGGGAAACUUGAGUGCAGAAGAGGACAGUGGAACUCCAUGUGUAGCGGUGAAAUGCGUAGAUAUAUGGAAGAACACCAGUGGCGAAGGCGGCUGUCUGGUCUGUAACUGACGCUGAGGCUCGAAAGUAUGGGUAGCAAACAGGAUUAGAUACCCUGGUAGUCCAUACCGUAAACGAUGAAUGCUAAGUGUUGGAGGGUUUCCGCCCUUCAGUGCUGCAGCUAACGCAUUAAGCAUUCCGCCUGGGGAGUACGGCCGCAAGGCUGAAACUCAAAGGAAUUGACGGGGGCCCGCACAAGCGGUGGAGCAUGUGGUUUAAUUCGAAGCUACGCGAAGAACCUUACCAGGUCUUGACAUACUAUGCAAAUCUAAGAGAUUAGACGUUCCCUUCGGGGACAUGGAUACAGGUGGUGCAUGGUUGUCGUCAGCUCGUGUCGUGAGAUGUUGGGUUAAGUCCCGCAACGAGCGCAACCCUUAUUAUCAGUUGCCAGCAUUAAGUUGGGCACUCUGGUGAGACUGCCGGUGACAAACCGGAGGAAGGUGGGGAUGACGUCAAAUCAUCAUGCCCCUUAUGACCUGGGCUACACACGUGCUACAAUGGAUGGUACAACGAGUUGCGAACUCGCGAGAGUAAGCUAAUCUCUUAAAGCCAUUCUCAGUUCGGAUUGUAGGCUGCAACUCGCCUACAUGAAGUCGGAAUCGCUAGUAAUCGCGGAUCAGCAUGCCGCGGUGAAUACGUUCCCGGGCCUUGUACACACCGCCCGUCACACCAUGAGAGUUUGUAACACCCAAAGUCGGUGGGGUAACCUUUUAGGAACCAGCCGCCUAAGGUGGGACAGAUGAUUAGGG
rnacentral:rRNA from 2 species